GACGAACCGUGCGAACGUUAUUCGGAAUCACUGGGCUUAAAGGGCGCGUAGGCGGGCUGUCAAGUCUGGGGUGAAAUCCCGCGGCUCAACCGUGGAACUGCCUUAGAUACUGACGGCCUCGAGGGAGAUAGGGGCGAGCGGAACUGUGAGUGGAGCGGUGAAAUGCGUUGAUAUUCACAGGAACUCCGGUGGCGAAGGCGGCUCGCUGGAUCUCUUCUGACGCUGAGGCGCGAAAGCUAGGGGAGCAAACGGG
rnacentral:rRNA from 1 species